GUUGUUGCUGCUGUUGCUGCUGUUAUUGUUGCUGUUGUUGUUGUUGGUGGUGUUGUUGAUGCUGUAGUAAUUAAAGUAGUAGUUCUGCAGAAGUAGGAGUAGUUGUUACUUUCAAAGCAAUUUCUACAAGUUUAAAUUCCUUAACCCUGUCCAAGUGGUAUACACACUGUUUUUUCUCAAUAUCAAACUCAGCCAGUCCAGGUUGUCAAAUAACAAUCUAUCUGAUAAGCCAAGCAUGUUUUGUUCAUCAGAUGUUGGGUAUGUUUGCUGCAAAUCUAUUGGUUAUAAGAUAUAACAGCCUUUUCUAAUUGGCUGAAUUCAAAUACAGAAAGUUUACCUGUUAGAUUGAAACAUGAAACAUGGUGGACAAUGUACUGGUUUAACUUGUUAAAAUAAAGUUAAAGACAUUUAACAAACAGAAGAGUUCAUUAGUUUUUCCAUUAAAAACACUUUCUUAAAAUACUUAUGUAUUUAUAUAAUUUGGAAAGUGACAUGAAAUAUUGCUAAAGAGUGAUGCAUACAGUGUUUGAGCAGUCUGUCUAGGAAUAGAACAACAACUGAAGUUGAUGGAAGAUACUGCAGAGUUUGGCAGGGAAAUAAUCCAACAGCAAAGCGGCUCUUUAAGCGCAUUUACCUAGAGGACUUACAGGGCCACAAAUUCAUGAGCACAUGUGAGCAGUAUACAAUGUACCUCAUACCAAAAAGGACCCGGAGGCAGUGACUGGUGUUCAAUAUUCUCAGAAGAAAAGGAAAAUGGCAGUGGAAGACUUGGACAAACAUUUUUAAAAACUAGCCUCUGUGUUAAGCCUGGCAGUCUGUGGCUGGUGACAUGUUUUAUUUUGGUUACUUCUUGUAUAAAAAAGACCAGUUAUUUAUUUUGUGAAUUGUAUUUUGUGUUUGUUUUUGGUCUUAAUUUAUUUGUUGUUUUUUUUAAUUUAGGAAUUUGAAACUUGGAUAAUUGAAUUAAGUCCGUGUUCAACAGUACUGAGCAUAGUAUAAUAAAUAACCAAUUUACAACAGUUGUUAAUUUGUUAUGUAUUAUUAUUAACUAUGCUCAGUACUUGAAUACUGGCGGUCUGCAUGGGAAUUUGUUUUCUAAAAAGUUGGUUUCAGACUAAAAUAU